UGGGGAAUUUUGGACAAUGGGCGCAAGCCUGAUCCAGCCAUGCCGCGUGCGGGAAGAAGGCCCUCGGGUUGUAAACCGCUUUUGUCAGGGAAGAAAUCUUCUGAGUUAAUACCUCGGGAGGAUGACGGUACCUGAAGAAUAAGCACCGGCUAACUACGUGCCAGCAGCCGCGGUAAUACGUAGGGUGCAAGCGUUAAUCGGAAUUACUGGGCGUAAAGCGUGCGCAGGCGGUUUUGUAAGACAGAGGUGAAAUCCCCGGGCUCAACCUGGGAACUGCCUUUGUGACUGCAAGGCUUGAGUGCGGCAGAGGGGGGAUGGAAUUCCGCGUGUAGCAGUGAAAUGCGUAGAUAUGCGGAGGAACACCGAUGGCGAAGGCAAUCCCCCUGGGCCUGCACUGACGCUCAUGCACGAAAGCGUGGGGAGCAAACAGGAUUAGAUACCCUGGUAGUCCACGCCCUAAACGAUGUCAACUGGUUGUUGGGAAGGUUCCUUCUCAGUAACGUAGCUAACGCGUGAAGUUGACCGCCUGGGGAGUACGGCCGCAAGGUUGAAACUCAAAUGAAUUGACGGGGUCAUAGCUGUUU
rnacentral:rRNA from 1 species